rnacentral:rRNA from 1 species
AUUGAACGCUGGCGGCAGGCCUAACACAUGCAAGUCGAACGGUAACAGGAAGAAGCUUGCUUCUUUGCUGACGCGUGGCGGACGGGUGAGUAAUGUCUGGGAAACUGCCUGAUGGAGGGGGAUAACUCCUGGAAACGGUAGCUAAUACCGCAUAACGUCGCAAGACCAAAGAGGGGGAGCUUCGGGCCUCUUGCCAUCGGAUGUGCCCAGAUGGGAUUAGCUAGUAGGUGGGGUAACGGCUCACCUAGGCGACGAUCCCUAGCUGGUCUGAGAGGAUGACCAGCCACACUGGAACUGAGACACGGUCCAGACUCCUACGGGAGGCAGCAGUGGGGAAUAUUGCACAAUGGGCGCAAGCCUGAUGCAGCCAUGCCGCGUGUAUGAAGAAGGCCUUCGGGUUGUAAAGUACUUUCGGCGGGGAGGAAGGGAGUAAAGUUAAUACCUUUGCUCAUUGACGUUACCCGCAGAAGAAGCACCGGCUAACUCCGUG